rnacentral:rRNA from 1 species
AGCGAACGUUAGCGGCGGGCUUAACACAUGCAAGUCGAACGAGAAUGAGGGGGCAACUCCUCUAGUAAAGUGGCGGACGGGUGCGUAACACGUAGGUAAUUUACCUUCCGGCGGGGGACAACAAUCCGAAAGGAUUGCUAAUACCGCGUACGUCAGCGAGGUCUCCGGGCCUUGUUGGGAAAGAUGGCCUCUCCUUGGAAGCUAUCACCGGAAGAUGAGCCUGCGGCCCAUCAGCUAGUUGGUAAGGAACGGCUUACCAAGGCUAAGACGGGUAGCUGGUCUGAGAGGAUGAUCAGCCACACUGGGACUGCGACACGGCCCAGACUCCUACGGGAGGCAGCAGUGGGGAAUAUUGGGCAAUGGGCGAAAGCCCGACCCAGCCACGCCGCGUGAGUGAUGAAGG